rnacentral:misc_RNA from 1 species
UACGUAGGGGGCAAGCGUUGUCCGGAAUUAUUGGGCGUAAAGGGUGCGUAGGCGGUUUUCUAAGUGAGAUGUUGAAGAUUUGGGCUCAACCUAAAGAAUGCAUUUCAUACUGGAAGGCUCGAGUGUGAAAGAGGAAAUGGGAAUUCCUCAUGUAGAGGUGAAAUUCGUAGAUAUGAGGAGGAACACCAGAGGCGAAGGCGAGUUUCUGGGUCAUUACUGACGCUGAGGCACUAAAGCGUGGGGAGCAAACAGG